rnacentral:rRNA from 1 species
AAACAUCGCCUCUUGCUUAAAUAUAAGAGGUCCCGCCUGCCCUGUGACAAAAUGUUUAACGGCCGCGGUACUUUGACCGUGUGAAGGUAGCGUAAUCACUUGUCUUUUAAAUGAAGACCUGUAUGAAUGGCAUAACGAAGGCUUAACUGUCUCAUUUUUCUAGUCAAUGAAAUUGAUCUUCUCGUGCAGAAGCGAGAAUAACAACAUAAGACAAAAAGACCCUGUGGAGCUUAAGACUCUAUUCUGUCUUCGGUUGGGGCGACCAUGGAGAAAACCUCAAGAAUGUUUAGAGCUACACCUCAAAGCUUUAGGACAUCUAAUCUUUCGACCCGGUCAGCCGAUUAAUGAAACAAGUUACCCCAGGGAUAACAGCGCUAUCCCCUUUAAAAGUCCUUAUUAACAAGGGGGUUUACGACCUCGAUGUUGGAUCAGGACAUCCUAAUGGCGCAGCCGCUAUUAAGGGUUCGUUUGUUCAACGAUUAAAGUCCUACGU